rnacentral:rRNA from 1 species
UUGAACGCUGGCGGCAGGCCUAACACAUGCAAGUCGAACGGUAACAGGAAGAAGCUUGCUUCUUUGCUGACGAGUGGCGGACGGGUGAGUAAUGUCUGGGAAACUGCCUGAUGGAGGGGGAUAACUACUGGAAACGGUAGCUAAUACCGCAUAACGUCGCAAGACCAAAGAGGGGGACCUUCGGGCCUCUUGCCAUCGGAUGUGCCCAGAUGGGAUUAGCUAGUAGGUGGGGUAACGGCUCACCUAGGCGACGAUCCCUAGCUGGUCUGAGAGGAUGACCAGCCACACUGGAACUGAGACACGGUCCAGACUCCUACGGGAGGCAGCAGUGGGGAAUAUUGCACAAUGGGCGCAAGCCUGAUGCAGCCAUGCCGCGUGUAUGAAGAAGGCCUUCGGGUUGUAAAGUACUUUCAGCGGGGAGGAAGGGAGUAAAGUUAAUACCUUUGCUCAUUGACGUUACCCGCAGAAGAAGCACCGGCUAACUCCGUGCCAGCAGCCGCGGUAAUACGGAGGGUGCAAGCGUUAAUCGGAAUUACUGGGCGUAAAGCGCACGCAGGCGGUUUGUUAAGUCAGAUGUGAAAUCCCCGGGCUCAACCUGGGAACUGCAUCUGAUACUGGCAAGCUUGAGUCUCGUAGAGGGGGGUAGAAUUCCAGGUGUAGCGGUGAAAUGCGUAGAGAUCUGGAGGAAUACCGGUGGCGAAGGCGGCCCCCUGGACGAAGACUGACGCUCAGGUGCGAAAGCGUGGGGAGCAAACAGGAUUAGAUACUCUGGUAGUCCACGCCGUAAACGAUGUCGACUUGGAGGUUGUGCCCUUGAGGCGUGGCUUCCGGAGCUAACGCGUUAAGUCGACCGCCUGGGGAGUACGGCCGCAAGGUUAAAACUCAAAUGAAUUGACGGGGGCCCGCACAAGCGGUGGAGCAUGUGGUUUAAUUCGAUGCAACGCGAAGAACCUUACCUGGUCUUGACAUCCACGGAAGUUUUCAGAGAUGAGAAUGUGCCUUCGGGAACCGUGAGACAGGUGCUGCAUGGCUGUCGUCAGCUCGUGUUGUGAAAUGUUGGGUUAAGUCCCGCAACGAGCGCAACCCUUAUCCUUUGUUGCCAGCGGUCCGGCCGGGAACUCAAAGGAGACUGCCAGUGAUAAACUGGAGGAAGGUGAGGAUGACGUCAAGUCAUCAUGGCCCUUACGACCAGGGCUACACACGUGCUACAAUGGCGCAUACAAAGAGAAGCGACCUCGCGAGAGCAAGCGGACCUCAUAAAGUGCGUCGUAGUCCGGAUUGGAGUCUGCAACUCGACUCCAUGAAGUCGGAAUCGCUAGUAAUCGUGGAUCAGAAUGCCACGGUGAAUACGUUCCCGGGCCUUGUACACACCGCCCGUCACACCAUGGGAGUGGGUUGCAAAAGAAGUAGGUAGCUUAACCUUCGGGAGGGCGCUUACCACUUUGUGAUUCAUGACUGGGGUG